AUCUCUCAUCUAUCCCUAACCUCUCAGUUUACCUGUUCUGGUCUUUCCUCACAUAUCUGACAAUCGUUAGCUCUCUUUGUAUUUCAAAGAAAAGCUCUGGAAUGUGUCUGGGACCUGUGUAUAUAUGGGCAAAACUCAUCAACGAAUGGGCUCCCUGGUGAUUAUUUGGCAGAUUCCUGGCAAUUUCAUCAGAGGAUCCAAAAAUGUAUGUGCAGGCCUUUUUCUCUUUGGUUGGUUGGCUUCUCCAGAGAAUAAGCCUCUUUUUCAACUCAGACAUUUAUACUUAGCUAACAGCAUUCAGGAAACUGAGAAAAGAAGGAACGUUGGAAAUUUCACCCUUCAGUGUGUGGACUUUGAGUUAGUCUUCCCGUGUUCAGUCUAGAGCCUUACUCCAAAUGGAAAUUCCAAGAUCCAGAGCCUCUCUGGCCUGGCUCCUCCCGAGGGAAAACUUCAGAAUUAUGCUAAAAUGGGCAAGGGUAG
rnacentral:lncRNA from 1 species